rnacentral:lncRNA from 1 species
AUCGCGUUCUUGCUGGAGGGCGGAUGCGCCCUGCCUUCCUCUGACUCGCUGGCGGCCUCGGAAACGCUACUCCCGCGGGAGAGCGCUCGUGGGACGGCCUGGGCCAGGCUGCUUGUCAGCCCCUGCGCUUCCCGGCAGUUUCCGCGUCCCUGUUUUCCCUGCGCGUCUUCUGAUUUCCACCAUGAGGACGUUUGGGUCGUGAUUUUCAUCUGCAUGUGGAGGAAACUGGGCCGCGCGCCGGGAGCCGCGCCUGCGGGUGCUCCGCCCCCAAGUGCCUGUGGGUUUGGUGCGGGCCUUGGGUUCAGUUCAGCUCGCUGUGACCUCGACUGAGCGCUGGAGGCUCCGCGGGCGGGAGCAGGAGGGCUGGAGCCGGCGCCUGCUGUGUGCCCGGCGCGGUAGUGAUGUGUGAGCCUCCCCGCAACUUCUGAGAAGGUGUGACCUUGUGUGGUCAGGAAGCCGAAGCUUGACGAGUUUUCAAGUACGUUUUCUCAGGUCCUGCAGCUGGGAGACGGCACAGGACACUAAACCAGGUGGAUGCAGACCAAGUUAUCCUCUCUCACAGCCCCAUGAAGCUCUUCUCCGAGUACCAUGAGAAGCGGAUGCUGGUGUCUGGACAGGGGCCCGUGAUGGAAAAUGCCCAGGG